AAGCUCCAGGGUAGGAGCAGCCUGGCAGUUCCUCCCUCUUUGGGUCAAGGUCUCAUCUCCCUUUCACUGGCUUUAGAAGAAGGAAAGUCAGGACCGUGGCUCCGUCGUAUCAAACUCUCAGGGUCUAAAAUGUCUGGAUACAUGACAUCCUGCCUAUAUUAUGUAUCAUGCAGCCCCAAAUUUUAUCAGAUACAUACUGUGUAACAGUAACGUUCCCUUGGACCACACUUUCAUAUCUGUGAUUUUAUUUC